ensembl:lncRNA LINC03015 long intergenic non-protein coding RNA 3015
GAAGGGCCGGGAACAGUGGAGGGUGCGAGGAAGACAAUGGGGGAGGACCCUGAGGCGGCCUCUGUGAGCCGACAGGAACACGUGGUCGAUCAGAGAGAGACUCAACAUGGUGUCUUUUAGGAGGUUCGUGAACGGAUGGGGAGGACCCUGAAAAGCACUGUGGAAUACAGGUUUCUAGUAACUUCAAAAUCACAUCAUUUGGACUGGGUAAGAAUUGCUGAAACUUUAAUGAAAAGACUGACUGGCUUAUAAAACUGCUAACCCAAAUAGAAUAAAAAUUAAUUGAAUACCGAGGAAAUGCUUCACCAGGUUUGCAUACUUAAUCAGCCUAUACUGAAAUUGUUUAGAUAUACAAUUUGAAUGAACUCCAUGGUCUAAGUCAAAUUACCUGUGAUAACCCAUCAGUUAUCCAUGCUAUGUGCCCAAUUUGGAGAAACAACUGGCACCCAAGAGGACAUAAGUCCGAUGUUAAGCAUGGACUCAUGGAGAACCAAGAUGGCUGCCUUGUCCUUCGUGAGUCCUUAAAGCUUUUGUUAUUAAAAGUUAUGCAUUCCAUGACUCAUCCUGGAAAAGAUAAAAUGAUCCAAAUUAAAUAUGUUGGUGUGGUGACUUACAGAUUGUUAAAAUAGUUUAUAAACAAUGUUUAGUUUGUCAAACCCAUACUCCUGGGAAGUCAAUCAAAGCUUCAUGUACAUUUGGCUACCUGAUGAGGCAUUUAAACAUUUAUAAAGGGGUUUCAUUCAGUUGUCAUUUUCAAUGUAUGUGUUCUGGUUGUACUAAAGCUUUCCCAUGCAGGAGGGCUAAUGUUAUAACAGUAGAUUACUAUGUAUCAGUGUAUUUUCACCAGGUAAAGAGCUUUUUAUGGUUCACUGAGGACAAUCAACCCCUUCACAAUCUAGAACCCAAAGAUGGGAUCUUCUGAGAACAUCAGAGAAACGCUGCCCUUGGCAUCAUCACUGCAACAAAACAUCAGGAUCUUGAACCUUGGGGUCAUAAUCUCACAACUGAGCAGGGUCACUCUUGGAACUCUACAUCCAUUGAAACCCUUAAGGUAAAGCUAAUCAGGGAAGUUUCUCCCCAGAAGAAGAUGGCAUCCUUGAUGUGAGCAGCUCUUUCUGAAGAUCAUGGAUCAAGACUUCUUACUAUCAUGAGACUCUUAUCUUUGAAUGUUUUUCCGUUGCUUCCGCCUCUGUGAACAACAGAAGUGAGAAGGGGGUCUGUUUUGUGCACUUAUGGGGUAUACUUUUAUUUGUGAAGGGCUUUGCAGCCAGCUUUAUACAUGGAUAAUCUUAUAACUUGAUAGAUAAAGAUGAAGGCCCAGUGUAUCAUAGGUGAGAAACUUCAAUGGUACAUAUGGUGCCUCAUAAUCAUUCAGAAGCAGAACAUUGGUUCACUCCUCUUAACCCACAGCAUGGGUUAAAGAGACCAUUGCCAAGAGGCCUUCCCUCUUCUAGAAGGGCAUCAUUUGUUAGGUCCUUUUUCCAUGGUUUGGAAUUAAAAAGGCAAUGACUAGAAACAUAUCCCUCAUGGUAGACUCUGUAGCAGAUUCUACUGUAAAGGCUACACAACAGAUGUUAAAUUCUCUUGUGAAAGUUAUGCUAAAAAAUAGAAUUGGCUAAACAGGAAAGUACCUGUGCAGAUGCUGGCACUUAAGGCCUAUGGAGAAAACAUCAGGUGUUAUAGAGAGUCUGUUGUAGGGAAUUAACGAAAAGACCACUGAGUUAAGUCAAAGAAUGGUCUAUUUGAGUUUAGGUGGUCUGGUUUAUGGGGACCCUGGCUAAGGAGCAUACUCCAAAUUCUUGGUGUUAACCCUCUCAGUAGUCAUAAGAAUAGUCUCCCUGGUGCACUGUAUUCUCUCAAAGGUUUUAAAUGUUUGCAUGAAGCCAUCUUUAGAACGUCAGAUGGUCUCUCUUCAACUGGAAUGACAAGAGCUGAAAGAAAUGUGUGACCACGAGGACACCGAAACCGAUGAGUGACAUGCUGAGACUGGAAAUCCAAAAUGAUAGUAACGGAGAGUGGCGCUAACAUCCUAAGUUUUGGUCACACUCUUGCCUAAGUGACAACCUGACAAAGGGGGAAUUUUUUAAACAAAAUGAUGGGAGGCCAUUGUUUUGGACUGAGCACUAGGUCCCAACAGACCAAACCGAACCAAAAUGGCAUCAUUCGUGCUAAAUGUGACAUAAUCGAAUUAAGACUUUAAGGAAACACAUGGGUCCUAGAAUAGACCAGGUUUUGUUUUUCUCUUGCAAACAGGACUUUCCAGCAUAAGGUGGUAUCCUCAACUCAGUCCUUGUUCCUACCUUUGCAAAACUCACUGUUCUGCUUCCUAGUGGGUUUCAAGACCAAUGGUGACAGUGACAUCAAUAACUCAAGUUUCGAUCAAUCUCUCAAAACUGAUAAAAUGACCAAAAAGGGGGAAUUGUUAAAGCGAACUAAAUAUGGCCUGAGAAGGACUCCGUACUUCUGUAUUGGAGUCCCUGUGAACAAACUGAGCCUAACUUAAUAGGUAGACAAGAUUGAAAACCUAAAUUAGGAGUAUGUACCUGUCACAAUUGCUGAGUCUCGGCCAGUCCCAGCAGCCGUACUUCAAUCACUCAUACACUGCUGAAUGUUCAAACUGUGUGUAAAUAAGGCAAAUGCCAACCUGUAACUAAUCCAGGUGUUUCUCUACCUCACUUCCCUUUUUUUGUCUAUAAAUCUUCCACCACGUGGCUGCACUGGAGUCUCUCUGAAUCUGCUGUAAUUCUGGGGGCUGCCCGAUGUGCAAAUCAUUCAUUGCUCAAUUAAAC